CCCAUGUGUACAACUAUCAGUGACUGACAGCUAUCUAUGUAUACACACUUACACAGAGAAUGCUAUCAAUUACUGAUAAUACCUCCCCCGUGAACAGCUGAAGUCAGAAAGAGCUAUGAAACUAUAUA